AUGGUUCAAGUGGUAGAGCAUUUACCUAGCAUGUAAGAAGCCCUGGGUUCAAUCCCCAGU
rnacentral:tRNA from 1 species